GUAGGUGGCAAGCGUUGUCCGGAAUUAUUGGGCGUAAAGCGCGCGCAGGGCGGUCCUUUAAGUCUGAUGUGAAAGCCCGCGGCUCAACCGUGGAGGGUCAUUGGAAACUGGGGGACUUGAGUACAGAAGAGGAAAGCGGAAUUCCAAGUGUAGCGGUGAAAUGCGUAGAGAUUUGGAGGAACACCAGUGGCGAAGGCGGCUUUCUGGUCUGUAACUGACGCUGAGGCGCGAAAGCGUGGGGAGCAAACAGGAUUAGAUACCCUGGUAGUCCACGCCGUAAACGAUGAGUGCUAAGUGUUAGGGGGUUUCCGCCCCUUAGUGCUGCAGCUAACGCAUUAAGCACUCCGCCUGGGGAGUACGGCCGCAAAGGCUG
rnacentral:rRNA from 1 species